AUAUCAUAUGCAGACAAUCAUCUCUUCAUGAUCCUGAUCAAUAUAAAAAUCACAUAUAGAGAAAUUACCGAUAAUCGAUCCUAAUAACACAAAUCGAGGACCUCUCUUAGGAUUAAUCAAAAUUAGGAUUUAUCUAAGUAUCUGGAUCCUCCACUGAUCCAUAAGACUUCUAGAGAAAGAAAAUCCAUGAAGAGAGAGAAAAUUUUAGAGAGAGAAAGUAGAGAGAGAAAGUGAAGAGAGAAAUCUUUGUAUCCUUCAGAUGAGGCAAUCAUGGUCGAGAUCAUCAGAGAUCCUAUCAGGGUGACUCAAUAUGAAUCAAGUGUUAC
rnacentral:lncRNA from 1 species